rnacentral:rRNA from 1 species
GUGGGGAAUUUUGGACAAUGGGCGAAAGCCUGAUCCAGCCAUGCCGCGUGCAGGAUGAAGGCCUUCGGGUUGUAAACUGCUUUUGUACGGAACGAAAAGACUCCUUCUAAUAAAGGGGGUCCAUGACGGUACCGUAAGAAUAAGCACCGGCUAACUACGUGCCAGCAGCCGCGGUAAUACGUAGGGUGCAAGCGUUAAUCGGAAUUACUGGGCGUAAAGCGUGCGCAGGCGGUUAUAUAAGACAGAUGUGAAAUCUCCGGGCUCAACCUGGGAACUGCAUUUGUGACUGUAUAGCUAGAGUACGGUAGAGGGGGAUGGAAUUCCGCGUGUAGCAGUGAAAUGCGUAGAUAUGCGGAGGAACACCGAUGGCGAAGGCAAUCCCCUGGACCUGUACUGACGCUCAUGCACGAAAGCGUGGGGAGCAAACAGGAUUAGAAACCCGUGUAGUCC